rnacentral:rRNA from 1 species
UACGUAGGGUGCGAGCGUUAAUCGGAAUUAUUGGGCGUAAAGAGCUCGUAGGCGGUCUGUCGCGUCUGCUGUGAAAUCCCGAGGCUCAACCUCGGGCUUGCAGUGGGUACGGGCAGGCUAGAGUGCGGUAGGGGAGAAUGGAACUCCUGGUGUAGCGGUGGAAUGCGCAGAUAUCAGGAAGAACACCGAUGGCGAAGGCAGUUCUCUGGGCCGUAACUGACGCUGAGGAGCGAAAGCGUGGGGAGCGAACAGG